GCUGGGUGCAGUGGCGCAUGCCUAUAGUCCCAGCUACUCGGGAGACUGAGGUGGGAGGAUCGCUUGAGCCCAGGAGUUCUGGGCUGUAGUGCGCUAUGCCGAUCAGGUGUCCACACUAAGUUCGGCAUCACUAUGGUGACCUCCUGGGACCGGGGAACCACCAGGUUGACUAAGGAGGGGUGAACUGGCCCAGGUGGAAAACGGAGCAGGUCAAAAUGCCCAUGCUGAUCAGUAGUGGGAUAGUGCCUGUGAAUAGCCACUGCACUCCACCCUGGGCAACAUGGUGAGAUAUCGUUUCU
rnacentral:SRP_RNA from 1 species